UACGAAGGGGGCGAGCGUUGUUCGGAUUUACUGGGCGUAAAGGGCGCGCAGGCGGCCAUUCAAGUCAGGCGUGAAAGCCCCGGGCUUAACCUGGGAGGUGCGCUUGGGACUGGAUGGCUUGAGACCGGGAGAGGUGAGUGGAAUUCCCAGUGUAGCGGUGAAAUGCGUAGAUAUUGGGAGGAACACCAGUGGCGAAGGCGGCUCACUGGACCGGAACUGACGCUGAGGCGCGAAAGCGUGGGGAGCAAACAGG
rnacentral:rRNA from 1 species